GAUCAUGGCUCAGGAUGAACGCUGGCGGCGUGCUUAACACAUGCAAGUCGAACGGAGAUAGCGGAGAGCUUGCUCUCUUCUAUCGUUAGUGGCGGACGGGUGAGUAACGCGUGGGUAACCUACCCUGUACAGGGGGAUAGCAGCUGGAAACGGCUGAUAAAACCGCAUAAAACGGCAGUACCGCAUGGUACAACCGUCAAAUAUUCAUAGGGUACAGGAUGGGCCCGCGUCUGAUUAGCCAGUUGGUGGGUAACGGCCUACCAAAGCGACGAUCAGUAGCCGGCCUGAGAGGGUGAACGGCCACAUUGGGACUGAGACACGGCCCAAACUCCUACGGGAGGCGGCAGUGGGGAAUAUUGGACAAUGGGGGAAACCCUGAUCCAGCGACGCCCGCGUGAGUGAAGAAGUAUCUCGGUAUGUAAAGCUCUAUCAGCAGGGAAGAUGAUGACGGUACCUGACUAAGAAGCACCGGCUAAAUACGUGCCAGCCGCCGC
rnacentral:rRNA from 1 species